rnacentral:rRNA from 1 species
CCUACGGGAGGCAGCAGUAGGGAAUCUUCCACAAUGGGCGAAAGCCUGAUGGAGCAACGCCGCGUGGGUGAAGAAUGUCUUCUGAUCGUAAAACCCUGUUGUUAGAGAAGAAAGUGCGUGAGAGUAACUGUUCACGUUUCGACGGUAUCUAACCAGAAUGCCACGGCUAACUACGUGCCAGCGGCGGCGGUAAUACGUAGGGGGCAAGCGUUAUCCGGAUUUAUUGGGCGUAAAGGGAACGCGGGCGGUCUUUUAAGUCUUAUGUGAAAGUCUUGGGCUUAACCGGAGUAGUGCAUUGGAAACUGGCAGACUUGAGUGCAGAAGAGGAGUGCGGAACUCGAGGUGUAGCGGUGAAAUGCGUAGAUAUAUGGAAGAACACCAGUGGCGAAAGCGGCUCUCGGG